UACGGAGGGUGCAAGCGUUAUCCGGAUUCACUGGGUUUAAAGGGUGCGUAGGUGGGUAGGUAAGUCAGUGGUGAAAUCUUCGAGCUUAACUCGGAAACUGCCAUUGAUACUAUUUAUCUUGAAUACUCUGGAGGUAAGCGGAAUAUGUCAUGUAGCGGUGAAAUGCUUAGAUAUGACAUAGAACACCAAUUGCGAAGGCAGCUUACUACAUAGUUAUUGACACUGAGGCACGAAAAGCGUGGGGGAUCAAACAGGG
rnacentral:rRNA from 1 species